rnacentral:rRNA from 1 species
CAGCAGCCGCGGGAAUACGUAGGGUCCGAGCGUUGUCCGGAAUUACUGGGCGUAAAGAGCUCGUAGGUGGUUUGUCGCGUUGUUCGUGAAAACUCACAGCUUAACUGUGGGCGUGCGGGCGAUACGGGCAGACUAGAGUACUGCAGGGGAGACUGGAAUUCCUGGUGUAGCGGUGGAAUGCGCAGAUAUCAGGAGGAACACCGGUGGCGAAGGCGGGUCUCUGGGCAGUAACUGACGCUGAGGAGCGAAAGCGUGGGGAGCGAACAGGAUUAGAUACCCCGGUAGUCCCUGUCUCUUAUAC